GCCCUUGUCGUCUAGCCCGGUCUAGGACAUCAGCUUUUCACGCUGGUAACUGGGGUUCGAAUCCCCACAGGGGUGCCA
rnacentral:tRNA from 2 species